rnacentral:rRNA from 1 species
CCGGUAAACGGCGGCCGUAACUAUAACGGUCCUAAGGUAGCGAAAUUCCUUGUCGGGUAAGUUCCGACCUGCACGAAUGGCGUAAUGAUGGCCAGGCUGUCUCCACCCGAGACUCAGUGAAAUUGAACUCGCUGUGAAGAUGCAGUGUACCCGCGGCAAGACGGAAAGACCCCGUGAACCUUUACUAUAGCUUGACACUGAACAUUGAGCCUUGAUGUGUAGGAUAGGUGGGAGGCUUAGAAGUGUGGACGCCAGUCUGCAUGGAGCCGACCUUGAAAUACCACCCUUUAAUGUUUGAUGUUCUAACGUUGACCCGUAAUCCGGGUUGCGGACAGUGUCUGGUGGGUAGUUUGACUGGGGCGGUCUCCUCCUAAAGAGUAACGGAGGAGCACGAAGGUUGGCUAAUCCUGGUCGGACAUCAGGAGGUUAGUGCAAUGGCAUAAGCCAGCUUGACUGCGAGCGUGACGGCGCGAGCAGGUGCGAAAGCAGGUCAUAGUGAUCCGGUGGUUCUGAAUGGAAGGGCCAUCGCUCAACGGAUAAAAGGUACUCCGGGGAUAACAGGCUGAUACCGCCCAAGAGUUCAUAUCGACGGCGGUGUUUGGCACCUCGAUGUCGGCUCAUCACAUCCUGGGGCUGAAGUAGGUCCCAAGGGUAUGGCUGUUCGCCAUUUAAAGUGGUACGCGAGCUGGGUUUAGAACGUCGUGAGACAGUUCGGUCCCUAUCUGCCGUGGGCGCUGGAGAACUGAGGGGGGCUGCUCCUAGUACGAGAGGACCGGAGUGGACGCAUCACUGGUGUUCGGGUUGUCAUGCCAAUGGCACUGCCCGGUAGCUAAAUGCGGAAGAGAUAAGUG